GGGGCAAGCAUAAUGAGUAUUGGGUUACUGCAUGGUCACGUGACAAGACAAAAGAUCCAUUCGAACACAUUACCCGAAAUAGUAACGAUCGCAAUUGCAAGGAACAGAAGGAAAUAUAUUAAGACUUACAUUUCACAAACGACGAGGAAAGAGUUGGGAGCAGAGACAGAUUAAGGAAAUAGAAAUCAUACUUACUCUUUUCAAAAGCUUGUACUAACAAAACAUAUAAUUAUACAUGUGUAUGUUUGUAACGGGACAUGAGUGUGCAUGUAAUUUAUCGCUACUGCAUCUAAACGCGGUAGUUUAGUGUAUCCCCUGUUUAUCCAGAGUUAAUGAUAUCCCAGCCUGCUUAGAUCGUAUUAAUUUUCCAUUCGUAGAUGAAACAGGAAAUAGAAUAAAAUAUCAAUUUUAUUAUGUGCAACUAAAACUGGACAUGUCUAUUUUGAUUUGUUCUUUGAACUUUGCUUCUGUAACUCCAAUAAGUCCUCUAGGACGGGUAGAAUUUCGAUAGCGGACACCUAUAACGCCUGGAGAACGAUUCUAAGUGGAAAGGUACCAUAUCCUUGUCAAGUUCCUCAGUUUCUCUAAACUUGGUUUAAUUUUUUAGCAGGGGAAUAAAGUUAUAUAUGUAAAAUAACCACUGCAUACAACAGAACCAGCAUACAAUUAUCAUAAACAAAAAACUUUAAAAAUCAUUACAACAUGUACAUGUAUUGCAUACAAAGGUUAGAUAUGAGUCUUUUAUUGAAAUGUUUUUUAUUAAUACCAGUAUCUAUCGGGUCUUGACAAUAUAUUUAUGUGUUUUAUUAUCCAGGCCGUUUUCCAGCAGUUCGAUUUGGACGGAUCGGGCACAGUAGAUACGUAUGAACUGGACAAACUCUUCAGUACACUAGGUGAGAGAGAGAGAGAGAGAGAGAGAGAGAGAGAGAGAGAGAGAGAGAGAUAGAUAGAGAGAGAGAGAAAGAGAGAAGGGGGUUGUUAAAUGAUAAAAAUUAUGAUGUUUUAACGAUUUUGUUCGAAAAAAUUAAUCAUGGAACUGAUUUUGUUUUGCCGCGUUUCAGGUUUUCCUGUCAAUAGAAUGGUACAGACAGCUAUCGUCAGAAGAUACGCGGACCGAAACAACAAGAUCCGCCUCACGGACUUUAUCAUCGUCAUCUGUAAACUAACGCUCAUGUUCCGUAAGUACACCCACUUUUCUCCCUACUAUGCGUACACACCCAAAACCCACUUUUACUUGAAUUUUUUUCAGGCAGAAGAAGUUAGCAAUUCAUGCAAUCAUAGUUUCUUGUCAAGCUGAUUGUCUCACUGCACUUCCCAAGGGCAAACAAAAGCAUGUCUGUAUAACUAUUAUUUUUUAUUAAUUUUAACUAUAUUUUAUUUCUAUUUUAGAAAUCUUUAAAGAUCAACAGGUAAAAACUGGGAGGCCAGACUCAGCAACAUUUUCCAUGAACGAGGCAAGUACAUGUGUCUGGAUCCUGAUAAAUAUCAGAAAAAAGUGUUGCUUUUAUUCUUGUCCUUACAAACUUUACUCUCCAUACAGAAUGGCCAAUACCAAUCUACUGCUGAUUUUACUCCUAUAUUGUUUGAUGUUGUCUACUUUCAGUUCCUGUAUUAUACAAUGUACUGCUGAAUCCUGGCAGUGUGUUGGUAAGCGGCAGCGCCGUGAUGUGUUCACACCAAACCUCUCUCAUUUCUCUACAUCACACAAGUCCCUUAUCUAGUUGACAGGAAAAGAACUCAUGUCUUUUUUGCAAUAUAUUUCUAAUCUACCUGAAGAGUCAAUGCUUUUGUUUUGUUACAUAUUUUUAUACACAUGUAUUACGUUUUAUAAUAAAAGAUUUUAAUUUGU
rnacentral:misc_RNA from 1 species